AACGCGUGAGUAACCUGCCUUUCAGAGGGGGAUAACGUUCUGAAAAGAACGCUAAUACCGCAUAAGAUUGUAGUUUCGCAUGGAGCAGCAAUCAAAGGAGCAAUCCGCUGAAAGAUGGACUCGCGUCCGAUUAGAUAGUUGGCGGGGUAACGGCCCACCAAGUCGACGAUCGGUAGCCGGACUGAGAGGUUGAUCGGCCACAUUGGGACUGAGACACGGCCCAGACUCCUACGGGAGGCAGCAGUGAGGGAUAUUGGGCAAUGGGGGAAACCCUGACCCAGCAACGCCGCGUGAGGGAUGACGGUUUUCGGAUUGUAAACCUCUGUCCUCUGUGAAGAUAGUGACGGUAGCAGAGGAGGAAGCUCCGGCUAACUACGUGCCAGCAGCCGCGGUAAUACGUAGGGAGCAAGCGUUGUCCGGAUUUACUGGGUGUAAAGGGUGCGUAGGCGGAUUGGCAAGUCAGAAGUGAAAUCCAUGGGCUUAACCCAUGAACUGCUUUUGAAACUGUUAGUCUUGAGUGACGUAGAGGUAGGCGGAAUUCCCGGUGUAGCGGUGAAAUGCGUAGAGAUCGGGAGGAACACCAGUGGCGAAGGCGGCCUACUGGGCUUUAACUGACGCUGAGGCACGAAAGUGUGGGUAGCAAACAGGAUUAGAUACCCUGGUAGUCCACACUGUAAACGAUGAUUACUAGGUGU
rnacentral:rRNA from 1 species